CCUACAGGCAACCAGAAAGACAACACCCAGCUGAGCAGCUGCUCAGGAACACCUUGGAGGAUCCCUGCUGGUACCAAGAGGCUAGUGAUUGCCACC